AGAGUUUGAUCAUGGCUCAGGAUGAAUGCUGGCGGCGCGCCUAACACAUGCAAGUCGAGCGGUAACAGGGGUAGUUUACUACCUGCUGACGAGCGGCGGACGGCUGAGUAACGCGUGGGAACAUGCCCCAAAGUGAGGGAUAAGCUCCAGAAAUGGAGUCUAAUACCGCAUAUGAUCUUCGGAUUAAAGGAUUUAUCCGCUUUGGGAGUGGCCUGCGUAUGAUUAGAUAGUUGGUGAGGUAAUGGCUCACCAAGUCUACGAUCAUUAACUGGUCUGAGAGGAUGAUCAGUCAGACUGGAACUGAGACACGGUCCAGACUCCUACGGGAGGCAGCAGUGAGGAAUCUUCCACAAUGGGCGAAAGCCUGAUGGAGCGACGCCGCGUGCAGGAUGAAGGCCUUCGGGUUGUAAACUGCUUUUAUAAGUGAAGAAUAUGACGGUAACUUAUGAAUAAGCACCGGCUAACUACGUGCCAGCAGCCGCGGUCAUACGUAGGGUGCAAGCAUUAUCCGGAGUGACUGGGCGUAAAGAGUUGCGUAGGUGGUUUGUUAUGUGAAUAGUGAAAUCCGACGGCUCAACCGUACGGACUAUUAUUCAAACUGGCAAACUCGAGAAUGGUAGAGGUAACUGGAAUUUCUAGUGUAGGAGUGAAAUCCGUAGAUAUUAGAAGGAACACCAAUGGCGUAGGCAGUACUGGACCAUUUCUGACACUGAGGCACGAAAGCGUGGGGAGCGAACCGGAUUAGAUACCCUAGUAGUCC
rnacentral:rRNA from 1 species